rnacentral:rRNA from 1 species
GGGUUGUGAGGUUAAGCGACUAAGCGUACACGGUGGAUGCCCUGGCAGUCAGAGGCGAUGAAGGACGUGCUAAUCUGCGAAAAGCGUCGGUAAGGUGAUAUGAACCGUUAUAACCGGCGAUGUCCGAAUGGGGAAACCCAGUGCAAUUCGUUGCACUAUCGUUAACUGAAUACAUAGGUUAACGAGGCGAACCGGGGGAACUGAAACAUCUAAGUACCCCGAGGAAAAGAAAUCAACCGAGAUUCCCCCAGUAGCGGCGAGCGAACGGGGAGCAGCCCAGAGUCUGAAUCAGCUUGUGUGUUAGUGGAACGGUCUGGAAAGUCCGACGGUACAGGGUGAUAGUCCCGUACACCAAAAUGCACAGGCUGUGAACUCGAAGAGUAGGGCGGGACACGUGGUAUCCUGUCUGAAUAUGGGGGGACCAUCCUCCAAGGCUAAAUACUCCUGACUGACCGAUAGUGAACCAGUACCGUGAGGGAAAGGCGAAAAGAACCCCGGCGAGGGGAGUGAAAAAGAACCUGAAACCGUGUACGUACAAGCAGUGGGAGCACCUUCGGGUGUGACUGCGUACCUUUUGUAUAAUGGGUCAGCGACUUAUAUUCUGUAGCAAGGUUAACCGUAUAGGGGAGCCGCAGGGAAACCGAGUCUUAACUGGGCGUUAAGUUGCAGGGUAUAGACCCGAAACCCGGUGAUCUAGCCAUGGGCAGGUUGAAGGUUGGGUAACACUAACUGGAGGACCGAACCGACUAAUGUUGAAAAAUUAGCGGAUGACUUGUGGCUGGGGGUGAAAGGCCAAUCAAACCGGGAGAUAGCUGGUUCUCCCCGAAAGCUAUUUAGGUAGCGCCUCGUGAACUCAUCUUCGGGGGUAGAGCACUGUUUCGGCUAGGGGGUCAUCCCGACUUACCAACCCGAUGCAAACUACGAAUACCGAAGAAUGUUAUCACGGGAGACACACGGCGGGUGCUAACGUCCGUCGUGAAGAGGGAAACAACCCAGACCGCCAGCUAAGGUCCCAAAGUCAUGGUUAAGUGGGAAACGAUGUGGGAAGGCACAGACAGCCAGGAUGUUGGCUUAGAAGCAGCCAUCAUUUAAAGAAAGCGUAAUAGCUCACUGGUCGAGUCGGCCUGCGCGGAAGAUGUAACGGGGCUAAACCAUGCACCGAAGCUGCGGCAGCGACACUAUGUGUUGUUGGGUAGGGGAGCGUUCUGUAAGCCUGCGAAGGUGUGCUGUGAGGCAUGCUGGAGGUAUCAGAAGUGCGAAUGCUGACAUAAGUAACGAUAAAGCGGGUGAAAAGCCCGCUCGCCGGAAGACCAAGGGUUCCUGUCCAACGUUAAUCGGGGCAGGGUGAGUCGACCCCUAAGGCGAGGCCGAAAGGCGUAGUCGAUGGGAAACAGGUUAAUAUUCCUGUACUUGGUGUUACUGCGAAGGGGGGACGGAGAAGGCUAUGUUAGCCGGGCGACGGUUGUCCCGGUUUAAGCAUGUAGGCUGGUUAUCCAGGCAAAUCCGGAUAAUCAAGGCUGAGGUGUGAUGACGAGGCACUACGGUGCUGAAGUAACAAAUGCCCUGCUUCCAGGAAAAGCCUCUAAGCAUCAGGUAACAUCAAAUCGUACCCCAAACCGACACAGGUGGUCAGGUAGAGAAUACCAAGGCGCUUGAGAGAACUCGGGUGAAGGAACUAGGCAAAAUGGUGCCGUAACUUCGGGAGAAGGCACGCUGGUGUGUAGGUGAAGCCCCUGCGGGUGGAGCUGAGACCAGUCGAAGAUACCAGCUGGCUGCAACUGUUUAUUAAAAACACAGCACUGUGCAAACACGAAAGUGGACGUAUACGGUGUGACGCCUGCCCGGUGCCGGAAGGUUAAUUGAUGGGGUUAUCCGUAAGGAGAAGCUCUUGAUCGAAGCCCCGGUAAACGGCGGCCGUAACUAUAACGGUCCUAAGGUAGCGAAAUUCCUUGUCGGGUAAGUUCCGACCUGCACGAAUGGCGUAAUGAUGGCCAGGCUGUCUCCACCCGAGACUCAGUGAAAUUGAACUCGCUGUGAAGAUGCAGUGUACCCGCGGCAAGACGGAAAGACCCCGUGAACCUUUACUAUAGCUUGACACUGAACAUUGAGCCUUGAUGUGUAGGAUAGGUGGGAGGCUUUGAAGCGUGGACGCCAGUCUGCGUGGAGCCAACCUUGAAAUACCACCCUUUAAUGUUUGAUGUUCUAACGUUGGCCCCUUACCGGGGUUGCGGACAGUGUCUGGUGGGUAGUUUGACUGGGGCGGUCUCCUCCCAAAGCGUAACGGAGGAGCACGAAGGUUAGCUAAUCCUGGUCGGACAUCAGGAGGUUAGUGCAAUGGCAUAAGCUAGCUUGACUGCGAGCGUGACGGCGCGAGCAGGUGCGAAAGCAGGUCAUAGUGAUCCGGUGGUUCUGAAUGGAAGGGCCAUCGCUCAACGGAUAAAAGGUACUCCGGGGAUAACAGGCUGAUACCGCCCAAGAGUUCAUAUCGACGGCGGUGUUUGGCACCUCGAUGUCGGCUCAUCACAUCCUGGGGCUGAAGUAGGUCCCAAGGGUAUGGCUGUUCGCCAUUUAAAGUGGUACGCGAGCUGGGUUUAGAACGUCGUGAGACAGUUCGGUCCCUAUCUGCCGUGGGCGCUGGAGAAUUGAGGGGGGCUGCUCCUAGUACGAGAGGACCGGAGUGGACGCAUCACUGGUGUUCGGGUUGUCAUGCCAAUGGCACUGCCCGGUAGCUAAAUGCGGAAGAGAUAAGUGCUGAAAGCAUCUAAGCACGAAACUUGCCCCGAGAUGAGUUCUCCCUGAGACUUUAAGUCUCCUGAAGGAACGUU